rnacentral:rRNA from 1 species
UGGGGAAUUUUGCACAAUGGGGGAAACUCUGAUGCAGCGACGCCGCGUGAUUUAGAAGGCCUUCGGGUUGUAAAAAUCUUUUUUACGGGAUGAAAAUGACAGUACCGUAAGAAUAAGGUCCGGCUAAAUACGUGCCAGCAGCCGCGGCAAUACGUAUGGACCGAGCGUUGUCCGGAAUCAUUGGGCGUAAAGGGUACGUAGGCGGCCUAGUAAGUUAGAAGUGAAAUAAUAUAGCUCAACUAUAUAAAGCUUUUAAAACUGCUAGGCUUGAGAGAUGGAAGGGAAAGUGGAAUUCCUAGUGUAGCGGUGAAAUGCGCAGAUAUUAGGAAGAAUACCGGUGGCGAAGGCGACUUUCUGGUCAUCAUCUGACGCUGAGGUACGAAAGCGUGGGUAGCAAACAGG